UACGGAGGGUGCAAGCGUUUAAUCGGAAUUACUGGGCGUAAAGCGCACGCAGGUGGCUGAGUCAGUCGAUUGUGAAAGCCCUGGGCUUAACCUGGGAAUUGCAGUCGAUACUACUCAGCUAGAGUAUGGGAGAGGGUAGUGGAAUUCCCGGUGUAGCGGUGAAAUGCGUAGAUAUUCGGAAGAACACCAGUGGCGAAGGCGGCUCACUGGCCCGGUACUGACGCUGAGAUACGAAAGCGUGGGGAGCAAACAGG
rnacentral:rRNA from 1 species